AGAGGUAGAGCUUAAAUGGUAGAGCACGUGCUUGCAUGCACGAGGUCCUGGGUUCAAUCCCCAGUAUCUCCA
rnacentral:tRNA from 1 species